GACGAACGCUGGCGGCGUGCUUAACACAUGCAAGUCGAGCGGUAAGGCCCUUUCGGGGGUACACGAGCGGCGAACGGGUGAGUAACACGUGGGUGACCUGCCUUUAGCUCUGGGAUAAGCCUGGGAAACCGGGUCUAAUACCGGAUAUGACUCCGCGGCGCAUGUUGUGGGGUGGAAAGCCUUGUGCGGCUGGAGAUGGGCCCGCGGCCUAUCAGCUUGUUGGUGGGGUGAUGGCCUACCAAGGCGACGACGGGUAGCCGGCCUGAGAGGGCGACCGGCCACACUGGGACUGAGACACGGCCCAGACUCCUACGGGAGGCAGCAGUGGGGAAUCUUGCGCAAUGGCGAAAGCCUGACGCAGCGACGCCGCGUGAGGGAUGACGGCCU
rnacentral:rRNA from 1 species